GCCUGGCUGGCUCAGUUGGUAGAGUAUUCGACUCUCGAUCUCAGGUUUGUGAGUUUGAGCCCCACGCUGGGUG
rnacentral:tRNA from 1 species